rnacentral:rRNA from 1 species
CCUACGGGAGGCAGCAGUAGGGAAUAUUGCUCAAUGGGGGAAAGCCUGAAGCAGCAACGCCGCGUGUGGGAUGAAGGUUUUCGGGUUGUAAACUCCUUUUGUUAGGGAAGAUAAGUACAUUAUCUAACCAGAAAGCAGCUGCUAAUACCUUACCAGCAGCCGCGGUAAUACGGAGGGUGCAAGCGUUAGUCGGUAUUACUGGGCGUAAAGGGCGAGGAGGCGGGAUGGCAAGUCAGAUGUGAAAUCCCCGGGCUUAACCAUAGAAAGGCAUUUGAAACUGAUAGUCUAGAGUGUGUGAGAGGUAGGUGGAAUUCUAGGUGUAGGAGUAAAAUCCGUAGAGAUCAAGAGGAACACCGAUGGCGAAGGCGACCUGCUAGAACAUAACUGACGCUGAUGCGCGAAAGCGUGGGGAGCAAACAGGAUUAGAUACCCGGGUAGUC